rnacentral:snRNA from 1 species
UUUGCUUCUUGGCCUUUUGGCUAAGAUCAAGUGUAGCUAGGGCCUUCUAAACAAUUUUAUAAAUUUUAUUGAAAUAUAGUUGAUUUACAUGUUGUUUAAUUUCUGCUUGCUUACAGCAAAGUGACUCAAU